GAUGAACGCUGGCGGCGUGCCUAAUACAUGCAAGUCGAGCGAAUGGAUUAAGAGCUUGCUCUUAUGAAGUUAGCGGCGGACGGGUGAGUAACACGUGGGUAACCUGCCCAUAAGACUGGGAUAACUCCGGGAAACCGGGGCUAAUACCGGAUAACAUUUUGAACCGCAUGGUUCGAAAUUGAAAGGCGGCUUCGGCUGUCACUUAUGGAUGGACCCGCGUCGCAUUAGCUAGUUGGUGGGGUAACGGCUCACCAAGGCAACGAUGCGUAGCCGACCUCGUAGGGUGAUCGGCCACAGUGGGACUGAGACACGGCCCAGACUCCUACGGGAGGCAGCAGUAGGGAAUCUUCCGCAAUGGACGAAAGUCUGACGGAGCAACGCCGCGUGAGUGAUGAAGGCUUUCGGGUCGUAAAACCCUGUUGUUAGGGAAGAACAAGUGCUAGUUGAAUAAGCUGGCACCUUGACGGUACCUAACCAGAAAGCCACGGCUAACUACGUGCCAGCAGCCGCAGUAA
rnacentral:rRNA from 1 species